rnacentral:rRNA from 1 species
UACGUAGGCAGCGAGCGUUGUUCGGAGUUACUGGGCGUAAAGAGUGCGUAGGCGGUUUUCUAAGUUUGGGGUGAAAUCUCCCGGCUUAACUGGGAGGGUGCGCCGAAGACUGGAAGGCUUGAGUAUGGGAGAGGUAAGCGGAAUUCCUGGUGUAGCGGUGAAAUGCGUAGAUAUCAGGAGGAACACCUGCGGUGUAGACGGCUUACUGGACCAUAACUGACGCUGAGGCACGAAAGCGUGGGGAGCGAACAGG